rnacentral:siRNA from 1 species
CAUCUUAUUGUAGUCGAUGCCAAA